GUCGAACGGCAGCACGGAGCUUGCUCUGGUGGCGAGUGGCGAACGGGUGAGUAAUAUAUCGGAACGUACCCUGGAGUGGGGGAUAACGUAGCGAAAGUUACGCUAAUACCGCAUACGAUCUACGGAUGAAAGUGGGGGAUCGCAAGACCUCAUGCUCGUGGAGCGGCCGAUAUCUGAUUAGCUAGUUGGUAGGGUAAAAGCCUACCAAGGCAUCGAUCAGUAGCUGGUCUGAGAGGACGACCAGCCACACUGGAACUGAGACACGGUCCAGACUCCUACGGGAGGCAGCAGUGGGGAAUUUUGGACAAUGGGCGAAAGCCUGAUCCAGCAAUGCCGCGUGAGUGAAGAAGGCCUUCGGGUUGUAAAGCUCUUUUGUCAGGGAAGAAACGGUGAGGGCUAAUAUCCCUUGCUAAUGACGGUACCUGAAGAAUAAGCACCGGCUAACUACGUGCCAGCAGCCGCGGUAAUACGUAGGGUGCAAGCGUUAAUCGGAAUUACUGGGCGUAAAGCGUGCGCCAGGCCGUUUUGUAAGUCUGAUGUGAAAUUCCCCGGGGCUCAACCUGGGAAUUGCAUUGGAGACUUGCAGGCUAGAAUCUGGCAGAGGGGGGUAG
rnacentral:rRNA from 1 species